ensembl:lncRNA
AUUUAGUCCAAGAAUCGGACCCCGCACUGCUGACAAAUGUAUGAACUACCGCAUCAAACACGCACACACCGGCUGAUGUAACGUUAGUCUUAACAGAGACCUGGGUGCAAGUCGUAUAAUUAGCUUGGUAACAAGCUAAUGUAGCCUCACCCAGCUCAGUGUAGUUGCGCUAAUGUGCCUCUGCGCUGUACGAGAGGGCAGGUAUUUACAAAGGAAAACGUGCAGGUGGCGCCAGUAAAUGCGGGCUUUCUGAGGCAGCUAAGACCCAAUUUUACGUAACGUUAACAUAAACCACAUUACCUUGGGGUUGUGGUGUAAUCCAGAAAGUGAGACCGGGCAAACCUUGUAGGUAAUGUAAGCAUCCGCAAAAUUGCUAAUAAGCAGCUAACGUUACACCACUUUGAGUUAGAACAUUUAACCAUGGCAGUCCCGCCCGCCAAAAUCUUCGGUAUGCUAACAUUAGACAUGCUAACUGGACACCAACAUUACAGAAAUGUAAGCUAACGUUGACAUACUUGCCAGUAAAGGUAUCUCAAGGCUAUUUAUGCUCUUAGAAGUUUAACACAUCGUCGGAUUCAAACAAUUGUUUCACGAAACGAGGUAAAUUAAUCAAUAAAUGUUCAUUAAUUCUCGCUAACAUUAGCAUGACGAAAGCUGGCUCGGUUCAGUCAGUUAAUGUAAAAUACUUAGUCACUUAAAUUAGCUAAUAGAACCAAAUGUAACCAAUUCAGGUGGACUAUUCUAUAUCCAACAUAUUAAAAUCUUUGUACACACAAAAUCCAUCCAAAUCAUGUAACGUUAAUGAAAGAAAAUGCUUAAACGCUGAGGAAAAAUCUGGAAAGAUGAGGAUGUCGCGACGUCAGACUCACACACUAAGUGAAACCCAAUUGACGCGGUUUUACUAAAAGGAGAAUAGCAGGUUAAGGGAAAGAAUUAUAAUUUCAAAUUGAUUUAAACCGCAAAAGUGCAUUGCCAUCACUAUAGCAGAUAUCUGAUUUAGACUCCUAUCAACUUCUACUGAAAUACUCUUUUUACAGUGUAAUGAAUGAGAGAUAAAUAGAUAUUGUUCGUUGAAUUUGAGCUAUUCCAAACCUUUAAUUAGGAACUGUCGAUUUAACCACUCUCAUGUAGGGUUGGGUAUUGGGAACCGGCGCCAUAUUGGUGCCCACGCGGCCGGUAACUACCGUACCGGAGCUCUUCUGUGCUGCACGUCAACACUUUGAGACAAACAAGGAGCGUCAAUCUAACUUUUCCGGACAGAAACCUGCAGAAAGCGAUCGUGACGCCUCAGGAGUCUGAAGAGGAGAUGAAGACGCGUUCUGCUGCACUCAACAGAGCUCGAGACCAACAGGACGCCAUCAGGACGCCAUCAGGAUGCCAUCAGGACGCCAUGAGGACGUCACGCCAUAAGGACGCCAUCAGGACGCCAUAAGGACGCCAUCAGGAUGCCAUCAGGACGCCAUGAGGACGUCACGCCAUAAGGACGCCAUCAGGACGCCAUAAGGACGCCAUCAGGACGUGCUGAGAGUCGCCCCCUCAGGAGCAGCUCCAGAUCUACGCAUGACUCAGAUAAGCGGACAACACACACACACACGUACUCAGAGAAAAACUAAUAUUGAGAUGUACACGUAGAUCAUUAAUAUUUAGAUGUAUACAUAGAUCAUUAAUAUUGAGAUGUACACAUAGACACAUUAAUAUUGAGAUGUACACAUAGAUCAUUAAUAUUGAGAUGUACACAUAGAUCAUUAAUAUUGAGAUGUACACAUAUACACAUUAAUAUUGAGAUGUACACAUAGAUCAUUAAUAUUGAGAUGUACACAUAGAUCAUUAAUAUUGAGAUGUACACAUAUACACAUUAAUUUUGAGAUGUACACAUAGAUCAUUAAUAUUGAGAUGUUUACAUAGACACAUUAAUAUUUAGAUGUACACAUAGACACACUACCUGUAAGAGCCGAUUUAUGAUGUAUGGCAGCAUCUGAUUGAUGGGCGGGUCAGCCUAUAUAGGGUAGGAACCUUUGGGGGCUCGGCAGGUGUUUCUAGCCGGUAUAAGAAAAACAGUUUUGACUUUGAACGUAGAAACUAAGCAAACGCUUUAAGCCACUGAGGCAUUUUUUCCGGAAACCCUCAUUGACGUGCCGCUGUUGUCUCAUGACGGAUGAAUGAGAGUCCUGUAGCCUUUGUGUUGUUGUAAACAAGUCCACUUAUUUGCCAAGUUUAGUCCUGUCACACGUUAACAUACAUCAUGGAUACAUGGGAGUGUGGAGGGGGAGAGAGAGGAGUGAUUAAAUAGAUAAAUGAGAUGUGUUGAGAAAUGCACUUUAAGAAAUAAGUUUUGGAAGUAUGUUCUAAGGAGGGCAGACAGACCUAAUAAUUGAGUCUGAGAGGUUAACAUAAACUCACAGACGCAUUGACUCCGGAAGGUUAGUAUAAACUUUCAGCAUAAAUUAAUUCUGCGAGGCUAACAUAAGCUCGUGGACACAAACAUUUUCUCUGAAAGGUUAGUAUAAACUUUCAGAACAUAGCUGUCUGCCCGGGUAAAAUACAUACGAACUGGUUGACUGUUGUUAAAUGGAAGGUGAAUUUGAU